CCGAAGGUGACCGACCCGCAAGGGAGCGUGCACAGGUGCUGCAUGGCUGUCGUCAGCUCGUGCCGUGAGGUGUUGGGUUAAGUCCCGCAACGAGCGCAACCCUCGCUGCCAGUUACCAUGUCUGGCGGGACCGCCGGGUUUAACCCGGAGGAAGGUGGGGAUGACGUCAAGUCAGCACGGCCCUUACGUCUGGGGCUACACACACGCUACAAUGGCCGGUACAAUGGGCUGCCAAGGGGCGACCCGGAGCGAAUCCCAUCAAAGCCGGUCUCAGUUGGGAUCGGGGGCUGCAACUCGCCCCCGUGAACGCGGAGUUGCUAGUAACCGCAGGUCAGCACACUGCGGUGAAUACGUUCCCGGGCCUUGUACACACCGCCCGUCACGUCAUGAAAGUUGGAAACGCCUGAAGCCGGUGGCCUAACCGCAAGGAGGGAGCCGUCGAGGGCGGAGCCAGCGAUUGGGACGAAGUCGUAACAAGGUAACCGU
rnacentral:rRNA from 1 species